UUAAAAAUUAAAAUAAUAAUAAAUUAAUAAUUAUAUAUUAUAAAGAAUAUAUUAUCACCACAGCAGAUAACAAUAUCACGUUAUAUGAUAAGAAAUGUGAUUUUCACAAAUAUUGAUAAGAAAUGUGAACGCUUCUGAUUGGUUGCGCAAUUUUGCUCCCGAGACGCUCGUGUCUUGGGACAGUCCGUUAUUUUUUCUCAUAUUUUUAAUUCAUAUAGUUCUAUUUGCUAUGGUUAUAUCCAUUUUUUUCUAUUUUAAUUUUUUUUUUUUUAUAGUUUCUGCUGUGCAGCAGUGUCAUCAACUAUUGUGCUAAACGUAUUAUUUUAUUUAUAUCGAUGACACUGUCCGCAGCAAAAAACUAUAAAAGGCUGGACGCACCAGCUCGGAUUGCCUUUUUUCUUUACCUUUCGGUAUUGUUUCGUUAUUUUGUAACUUUUUAGCAUUUAUAGCACAUAUUCUGAGUCUUCAUUUUUUUUGUUGGUAAAGUAUUGUUCCUAAAAUCAUUAUAUCUUCAACUAUUAUAUUAUACUUUUCACAGCAGGGUGGUCAUUGUCUAUAUUCCAUUUGUGGUGCUUAUCCUGUGUUAUACUCGUCAGUGGUUACCUCAAAGCGGUCGCACGUGUGCGGUUGUUAAUAUUAUUAAAUUUUGUGUAUUAUUAUUAUAAAUACGUCCCCGGCACAGCCGCGUUAAAAUCCAUCAACUAAAGUAAUCACCCGUGUUGUGACUUGUUCAAUAUGGUGUUCACGCGUGUGCAGAAAUGUCGCGGUUGUGUUCCAAACGCUCCUAAACCGAAGACUUCCACAAAAUUGGGUCCCGAGUACCAGGAGCGCAUGAACACGUUGUUGUGUUUCUGUUUCGUCGACGGCGGCGGCGGCAGCGGCUGUUGUAGAUACUCAUUCGAAGACUAUCACGAUCACAACAUAAUCAGUUACAUAAUAUAAUAUUCAGAGUUCUCCAGAAUGUUUUUUCCCAAUGACAAUACCAUAUUCUUUUAAUUUUUUUUUUUUGAAUCACUAACUAUAACAUUAACAACAACAAUAAGUACAACAACAAUUAAUACUAUUAUUGUUGCCACGAUCUGUUAUUGUUGGUGUUGCUGAUGCGGUUGUGUCGUCGCUAAGUUGUCGUUCUGAAAUGAGACUCAAUAUUUACUAGGAACCUAUGCGGCCGAAUACGUCAUCAUCGCUGUCCGAAGAGCCCGGUGUUCGGGGGCGGUACCCUCGCCGACCAAAAAUUACGGCGGCGCUAGUCGUUCCGGCUAGACUCCUGGUCGUAAAUCCAUCGGUUACCCCAAGAAAUGUUGAUCGACUUCGACAAUAUCAUUCUUAGGGGUCGAUCGACCGAUUUCAUGUACCAGGAGCGGCUAGUCGGAGGCGAUGGUGCCACUGCGAUUUUCAUGCGGCGAGCGGCAGCGCCGCCAUAAAACACCGGACUGUUCGGAUACCGAAGAUGACAUAUUCGGCCGCAUAGGUUCCUAGUAAAUUUUGAGUCUCAUUUCAGAACGACAACUUACGCGAUGACACAACUGACACAGCAACAGUAAUAUCUACAACAAAUAGUUUUAAGUCUAAGGCUGAGAUGUUAACGUCCUAAAAAUCUCAAAAAAAUACAGUAAAAAUUGUAUAAAUAUAUUAUGGUUUAUUAGCAAAUUAAAAUUGAAGUAGGUAUGUUUACACACAUAAUAAAAUUUAAAAAGACAAUUUUUUUUUUUAAAUUGCGCAUUGCCAGUAUAUUCAAUAAUUUAUAUUAUCAAAUUAUAAACAUAAUAGUCAUAUUAACACACUUUAAGAAUUAAAAAUCGGUUUUUGAUUUUUUAUAAAUUAAAAAUUAUAAUUCUUUUUAUUGAGUUAUAUUAUAUUUUUUCUAAAUUUUAAAAUAAUUCUAAUGGGUAAAAUUGUAUGUGUUAGAAAUGAUAUCUUUCAUCUUAAACUAGCAAAUUAUUAAUAAAAUAGUCAUAUUCACACUCGUAGUAAAAACUAAAAAUCAAAUUUAACUUUUUUAAAAAUUAAAUAUUAUCAUUUAAUUCAAUGAGUUAUAUUAUAUUUUUAUAUAUUUUUAAAUUCAUACAAUGUGUAUAAUUUUAUGUGUUAGAAAUAAAUUCUUAUGCCUUAAAUUAGCAAAUUGUUAACAAAAUAGUCAUAUUAACACACAUAUUAAGAACUAAGAAUUUUGAAAGCAUACCGUUAUCAAGGGGUUGGAUAUAGGCAAUAUAGAAUAAUUUUUGUGAUUAGCUGGAUGAGAGGGUGCAUAGUAUCUGUGU